rnacentral:rRNA from 1 species
CAGGACGAACGCUGGCGGCGUGCCUAAUACAUGCAAGUCGAACGGUCUUUCUAUGGAAGCUUGCUUCCACUGAGAAGAUAGUGGCGAACGGGUGAGUAACACGUGGGUAACCUGCCCAUAAGAGGGGGAUAACAUCCGGAAACGGGUGCUAAUACCGCAUAGCUUUCUUGAUCGCAUGAUUGAGAAAGGAAAGACGGCCUUUGUGCUGUCGCUUAUGGAUGGACCCGCGGCGUAUUAGUUAGUUGGUGAGGUAACGGCUCACCAAGACGAUGAUACGUAGCCGACCUGAGAGGGUGAUCGGCCACAUUGGGACUGAGACACGGCCCAAACUCCUACGGGAGGCAGCAGUAGGGAAUCUUCCGCAAUGGACGAAAGUCUGACGGAGCAACGCCGCGUGAGUGAAAGAAGGUUUUCGGAUCGUAAAACUCUGUUGUCAGAGAAGAACAAGUUGGAGAGUAACUGCUCCAGCCUUGACGGUAUCUGACCAGAAAGUCACGGCUAACUACGUGCCAGCCGCCGC